rnacentral:rRNA from 1 species
UUGACCUCAAAUCAGGUAGGACUACCCGCUGAACUUAAGCAUAUCAAUAAGCGGAGGAAAAGAAACUAACAAGGAUUCCCCUAGUAACUGCGAGUGAAGCGGGAAAAGCUCA